ensembl:lncRNA
AUUCACUUGUGAAAGUUUGGCAAAAUACGGUAAAUGUGUGUAAAGUCAUAAAGGUACAGCAACAAACAGUGUGUUUAAUUGGGAAAACUGUCAUGCAAUAUUAGAAAAUGAAUGUUUUUGGUGCAAUAUGCUUUAUCUGAUAUUAUCAAAUAACACUAGGGGAAAAUAUUUUUUUUUCUAUGCUCUAAAAAACAAACUCCACUAAUGCAGAUAGUGAAUUUGACUUUCUCUUUUCCUUUCUCUUCCGCCCAUCUCUUUCUCUUGCAGGUCUCUGUCCCCUUGAUAAAGAGCGGUUUGAAUAUCAAUGAGGUUUAUUCUCUCCCGGGUCUGCAGCCAGCUGUUAAAGAAUUGUGAUGGGCAAUGGUCCGAGUUGUGAACACAGAAGUUGUGGGCUCAAACUCAAGCAGUGUUGACCCAGGAACUGAGAAGUGCUAUGAUUUCAGCCCCAUUCUGUCACCGUUCUUCCCUGGAGCGUGACACUUCCUCAUGUUCCGCCCCAGGUUGUUCCAGAGGGUCUGUCCUGGCAAUUAGUGUAACUGAAAGUCACUUUAAAUGAGAAUGUAUGUGCUACAAAGCUGAGUGACUAAAUGGAUUGCCUGUUUAAAAUCCAGACAGACCAUAGGAGGUUUGAAAUAUCAUGUUAACAUUAAACUGUGCUCAUAACGUUUUAUGCUUUGUAUCCGUUUCUAAAUACCAACCCAAGGUCAUUGGAAAAAAACAUGUCUGUGGUGAUAUUUCCUCAGAAUGAUGUUAUGUUGCUUCCUGCACAUUUUGUUACACUUUCAAAGUGGAAUAUCCAGUGAGUGGCGUUAAAAGCAUCCAAAAUGGAUGAACAUGAAUAUGGCGAUAUUUCAUUCUGUUUGUUGUUGAACAUAUUGUGGCAGGUCAGAAAUGAAAUAUCCAGUGAGUAGCAUUAAAAGGAUAAUUCUCUAUCGCAUUUGAAAACGGCAUACCACUACACUAAACCUAACUGGUAAUGUUAACAGAAAACACAUUCGCUGAAGCAACCAAGCCUUUAUAAACUUGCUUCUAUACCUGAGCACUCUGCAUUGCAAUUGCAGUGCUGUACCAGGUGAGCUACCAAGCAAGUUUACCACACCAGAAAAGCCGUACAUAUGGAUUUGAUUACAUGAAAGUGUAUUAGUUUAUGAAUCAUGCAUAGUAUUGUGCUAGGAACCCU